UACGUAGGCAGCGAGCGUUGUUCGGAAUUAUUGGGCGUAAAGAGUGUGUAGGCGGCGCUCUAAGUUCGGUGUGAAAUCUCUCGGCUUAACUGGGAGGGUGCGCCGGAAACUGGAGUGCUCGAACGUGGGAGAGGAAAGCGGAAUUCCUGGUGUAGCGGUGAAAUGCGUAGAGAUCAGGAGGAACACCUGCGGUGUAGACGGCUUUCUGGGCCAUUGUUGACGCUGAGACACGAAAGCGUGGGUAGCAAACAGG
rnacentral:rRNA from 1 species